ACAAAGGAUCAGCCUGGAAGCUCCUGGGUCAUUGCUCCUACUUUCCAUGGAAAAAGAUUUCCCUAUCCACAUGUGCUGCUCAGUCAGUCUUCUGCUCUUCCAUUACUUCCUUUCCCAAGUUUCCCUUCUCUUUUCUUUAAACUUAAUCCAGUUGAAAAAUUCAGAUAGUUUGGCAAGGUGAAAAGAAUGAUGAACUUAGAUUCAGAAAGACAGGUUCUGAGACUUUGUUUAGAGGCAUCUGUGGCGCACCUUCCCUUACUUUGAGGACACUGGGUACUCCAAAGUGAUUAGUUAACUGAAAAACAAAAGAUCAAAUUGACUUUUUUUCUCUCUCUCUCUGUCUCUGUCUCCCUGUCUCUCAUUUUGUUUCUCUCUUUUUUCUUUCUCUCUUUGUUCUUCUCUUUCUCUUUUUUCUUUCUCUUUUCUUUCUUUCUCUUUCUCCCUCUCCCUCUUUCUAUCUGUCUCUUUUUUCUCUUUUUCUAUCUCUCUUUUAUCUUUCUUUUUCUUUUUUCCUCUCUGCCUCUUUUUCUUUCUCUUUCUGUCUUUCUAGCUCUCUUUUUCUCUUUUUUCUUUCUCUCUUUGUUCUUCUCUUUCUCUUUUUCUUUCUCUUUUCUUUCUUUCUCUUUCUCCCUCUCCCUCUUUCUGUCUCUUUUUUCUUUUUCUAUCUCUCUUUUAUCUUUCUUUUUCUUUUUUCCUCUCUGCCUUUUUCUUUCUCUUUCUGUCUUUCUAGCUCUCUUUUUUCUCUUUUUUCUUUCUCUCUUUGUUCUUCUCUUUCUCUUUUUUCCUUCUCUUUUCUUUCUUUCUCUUUCUCCCUCUCCCUCUUUCUAUCUGUCUCUUUUUUCUCUUUUUCUAUCUCUCUUUUAUCUUUCUUUUUCUUUUUUCCUCUCUCCCUCUUUUUCUUUCUCUUUCUGUCUUUCUAGCUCUCUUUUUUCUCUUUCUCUCUCUUGGUCUCUAUCUCUUUUUCUCUCAUUUUGUUUCUCUUUUUUCCUCUCCUUCCUCUUUAUCUUUCUUUUCUCUUUUUCUCUACCUUUUUCUCUGUCAAUUUUUUCUUUAUCUUUUUUCUCUUUCUCUUUCUUUUUCUGUCUUUCUCUUUUUCUCUUUCUCUCUUUUCUCUCUUUCUGUCUUUCUCUUUCUGUCUUUCUAUCUGUCCUUUUCUCUUUCUCUCUCUUUUUCUCUCUCUGUCGCUCUCAAUGUUUACAAGACUCAAAUUCUGCAGAGGACAUUUUUAUAAUCCAUAAAUAGUAUU
rnacentral:lncRNA from 1 species